rnacentral:rRNA from 1 species
GACGAACGCUGGCGGCGUGCUUAAUACAUGCAAGUCAACGACUUUUAGAGUAGCAAUAUUUUAAAGGGAGUGGCGCACGGGUGAGUAACACGUAGGUAAUCUGCCUUCAGGACUGACACAACUCGUCGAAAGACGGGCUAAUAUCAGAUAAUGCAGCGGCUCCGCAUGGAGACAGUUGUUAAAGUACAAGCGCCUGAAGAUGAGCCUGCGGUCCAUUAGCUAGUUGGUAGAGUAACAGCCUACCAAGGCAACGAUGGAUAGCUGGUCUGAGAGGAUGAUCAGCCACACUGGAACUGAGACACGGUCCAGACUCCUACGGGAGGCAGCAGUAAGGAAUAUUGCUCAAUGGCCGAAAGGCUGAAGCAGCAACGCCGCGUGAAGGGUGAAUGGCCUUUGGCCUGUAAACUUCUGUAAAAAGGGAAAACAAGUCAGGCAUGUCCUGAUUUGAUUGUACCUUUGAAGUAAGCCCCGGCUAACU